ACGAGAAGGCAGCUACACGGCGACGUGAGGCUAAUCCCUAAAUCCUCUCUCAGUUCGGAUUGGAGUCUGCAACCCGACUCCAUGAAGCUGGAUUCGCUAGUAAUCGCGCAUCAGCCACGGCGCGGUGAAUACGUUCCCGGGCCUUGUACACACCGCCCGUCAAGCCAUGAAAGCCGGGGGUACCUGAAGUGCGUAACCGCGAGGAGCGCCCUAGGGUAAAACUGGUGAUUGGGGCUAAGUCGUAACAAGGUAAC
rnacentral:rRNA from 1 species